rnacentral:rRNA from 1 species
UUUCGCAAUGCCCGAAAGGGUGACGAAGCGACGCCGCGUGUGGGAAGAAGGCCUUCGGGUUGUAAACCGCUGUUGGGAGUUAGGAAGUGUGGGAGUGUUAAUAGCGCUUCCACUUGACUAAAGCUCCAGAGGAAGCCACGGCUAACUCUGUGCCAGCAGCCGCGGUAAUACAGAGGCGGCAAGCGUUGUUCGGAAUUAUUGGGCGUAAGGAGCACGUAGGCGGCUCUGUAAGUCAGCUGUGAAAGCCUUCUGCUUAACGGAAGAACAGCAGUUGAAACUACAGGGCUUGAGUGCGGGAGGGGAGAGUGGAACUUCUGGUGGAGCGGUGAAAUGCGUAGAUAUCAGAAGGAACGCCGGCGGCGAAAGCGGCUCUCUGGUCCGCGACUGACGCUGAGUGUGCGAAAGCUAGGGGAGCAAACGGGAUUAGAUACCCCGGUAGUCCUAGCCGUAAACGAUGGGCACUAAGUAGAGGGGUUUU